CACGGACCAAGGAGUCUAACGUGCGCGCGAGUCGCGGGGUGUCCGUGCAGUUGGCGGCGUUCUUUCCGGGGGCGUCCGUUGGCUGCUCGUUACAAUACGAAACCCGUCUCGUUUUACGAAAGGCGCAAUGAAAGUGAAUUUUGGGGAAGAUGACGUUACCGAGAUCACGUUCCGUGCUCUUGUAGCGCGGCCGGUCGUCCGCAUUCCCAGGGCGUUCCAACGGCCCGGCGGCGUUGCGGAUCGUCGUUCCUUCGGGGGCGGCGGUCGGGCGUCGUCGAACCGGAGCGCACCUAUAGCGUGCACGUUGGUACCCGAAAGAUGGUGAACUAUGCCCGGCCAGGAUGAAGUCAGGGGAAACCCUGAUGGAGGUCCGCAGCGAUUCUGACGUGCAAAUCGAUCGUCUGAGCUGGGUAUAGGGGCGAAAGACUAAUCGAACCAUCUAGUA
rnacentral:rRNA from 1 species